AGAGAUUGACGGACAGAGAAAGUUCCUGGAUACGAUAGACCUUGUUCCUCUCUGAGAUCGAUAGCCGACGACCCACCUGCUUCCUCUGGUCAUCGCCGCGUCACAGCUGUUCCCUUGACGACCUAUUCUUAACACCUUUUUCCCUCUAAUCGCCGUCUUCAACUCGAUCUAUUUUCCACGGUACACCCUUUUUCAUCUAGAUCCGUGGAUUUUUAGCUAUUUUGUUGAAUUGAUGCGAAUUUAAUCUGUUUUCUAGGUCCUUCAGAUGCUCGACUCCAUCAGCUUUACUAAAAGCCACCAUCGCCUACCUUUUUGACUCGAUUUCAAUCCCCCUCAUCAUCAAUCUUUUCUUUGAAUCCCCCCGUGGCUUUAGGGUUUCCAAAACGAGCUAAUACGAUCCCAAGCUCGCCCGCCGUUACAGGUAGUUGUUCACAGCUCAACUCCUUCCCCUGCUUACUCGUUUCCGCUUUAUCUAUUUGAUCUUCGAUUUUAUUUUUAGGGUUUUUUUUUUUUAAUUUCAAAUGGAAACGUCAAGCACCAACAACGACACCUUCAGAGGCUCUCCGCGAAGAAACUCCUCGAUCCUCUCAGCUUCCAACCUCAUCCAAGCCCCUAUAUCAACCUUGCUAGAGUACUCAGGCCUUCUUCGACCGAGGACUACGAGUCCCACUCACGAGGCUGAAACGUUGGUUAGUAGCGAUGAUUCCCCGGGGAUAAACUCCAACGGAGGAGGAGGAGAGGUUGCCAUUAGGAUCAUCGGGAACUCGGAGCAGGAUGAGGUUGCUGAAAGUGAUAUCACUGGUGCCGCACAGACUACUGAAGUUCCUGGUUCUUCUUCUGCAAGUCCCGUGGGGGGAGGAACUGGGGAAGGAGGCGAAUCUGUUGGUGGAGAUGCUGCUGCGGCAAGCCGAGAUUCUCCUUACCAGAGAUACGAUAUUCAGCAGGCUGCAAGGUGGAUCGAGCAGAUUCUUCCCUUUUCUUUGCUCCUCUUGGUCGUCUUCAUCCGCCAACACUUGCAGGGUACUCUCCUCACUCCUCUUAUCUAUUGUUUGUGCUUUUAUAUUAUAUUCUGGUUUGCUUAUAAUGUUUCAUUUUCUUAGGUUUCUUUGUUGCAAUUUGGAUUGCUGCUGUAAUGUUCAAGUCUAAUGAUAUUAUGAAGAAGCAAACCGCAUUAAAGGUUUAAUAUUUUUUUUGCAUUUAUUGCUUUUUUUUUUUCUUUCUCAGUUUAAAUAAAUGGGUAGUUUUUUAAGUCUCAAUUUAAACAUGUCUUUGGUAUUGGUUCUCCAGGGUGAGAGGCAGAUCUCGGCUUUAAUCGGGAUCUCUGUAGCGUUUGCGGCCCAUGUGGUUGGUGUUUAUUGGUGGUUUCGCAAGGAUGACCUCUUGUAUCCCUUAAUCAUGUUCCCUCCCAAGUCCAUACCUCCUUUCUGGCAUGCCAUUUUUAUCAUUGUCGUCAAUGGUGUGUGUACCCCAAACUCUCUUUUUUUUUUUUUAAUUUAAUCAUAAAUUAUUAUAAAUAUCACCAUGUUACAUGCAUGUUUUAUAAUUUUGUGCUUACACAACUUGCAUAUUUUGCCUCAGAUACACUUGUACGGCAGGCCUCAAUGAUACUCAAGUGUUUUCUCUUGAUGUACUACAAGAACAGUAGGGGUCGAAAUUAUCGUAAACAGGUCAGUGUUCUUCUAUUCUAUGUCCCUUUGAGCUUUUUUUCACUUUUAAGCAGCGAUCACUAAUUUGGUUAGUUAACUUUUUUUUAUGUAGGGUCAAUUGCUAACUUUGGUUGAAUAUUUGAUGCUUCUGUAUCGCUCUUUGCUGCCUACCCCUGUAUGGUACCGUUUCUUCUUGAACAAGGAUUAUGGAAGCCUCUUCUCCUCUCUUAUGACAGGACUCUAUCUGACUUUCAAGCUCACUUCUGUAGUUGAGAAAGUAAGUGUUCUCUCCAGAAUUUCAUCACCCUCUUCUUCUUUUUUUCUGGAAUUAGUUGAUGAGAGGAAACUGGCAAUAAAAUUUGUAGGUUCAAUCCUUCUUUACGGCUUUAAAAUCUUUGUCACGCAAAGAGGUGCAUUAUGGAUCGUAUGCAACUACAGAGCAGGUCAGUGUUUAGAAAAUUCAAAUAUAUAACUAAUGCCUCUUUAAGAUUCAAUCCUAAACAAGCAAGAGAAAUGGAUGCAGGUGAAUGCUGCAGGGGACCUGUGUGCCAUCUGCCAGGAGAAGAUGCACACACCAAUUCUUCUUCGCUGCAAGCACAUGUUUUGCGAAGAUUGCGUUUCAGAGUGGUGAGUUGUUUUGUUGCAUAUAGCAGUUGUUGUUCUUUGUGUGUUGUUGAUGUUUGAAUGGAUGUUGAUUAUUAUGACUUGGUGCAGGUUUGAGAGAGAGAGGACUUGUCCUCUGUGCAGAGCCUUGGUCAAGCCAGCGGAUCUGAAAUCGUUUGGUGAUGGUUCAACCAGCCUUUUCUUCCAGAUAUUCUGAUUAACAUGCAUACAAAGUACAACGUAUAAAUAGAUCAUCCAUCACAAGCCCUUGGGUAGAGAGUAUUGCCGUUUAAGUUGUGCACGAAAGACACCACUACUGAUGAUGAUGCCUUGAAGAUGUUUAUACAAUCCCAUUUGUUAAUAUGAAAAUGGCCUUUUAUAUAUUCGUUAGCCUAAAAAGAAAAAGAAUUCAAUAUUCAGAAAAUCGUAUUUAUUCAAUAUGAAAAAGUUCUCACUACAAUUAUCAACAAAGGCAAGGAGGCUGUUCAUAAGCUUUACAGAGAAACACUUUUGCUACAUUUGAAACUUUUUUGGUCGAAAACCAUUGUUAUUCCACUAUCAGCUUCUACAUUUUUUCCCUAUAAAACAAAAGAUGAACUCUUUAGCAGCCUACUGAAAUUCGAGGAAAAAAAGAAAGAGAUUUACCGAAAACCUGCUUCAUCGCCAACAAGCACUUUCAUAAGCCUCCCCUUCUGCUUCUGUUCAAAGGAAGUCGAUAAUGGAGUUGUAUUCAGAUACCAACAAGCAAUUUUGCAACCAGGAACAUACUAACUAACACCUCUCUGCCCGAGAAAACUAGCUUGUUUAAUAUCAGUUCCAACGUUACAGUGACCAACAUAUCUACCCUUCAUAACAAUGGCUCCCUCUAAGCUUUAAUCGCCAAGAAACCAAUCGGGCAGACCAAGUAGAUAGUGUACAUCAAAUUAACACAUUCAAUAAGUAAGAUUGUGUUGUUUUGAAAUAACAAUUAAACAAAUCAUAAUCUGAAAACUAACAUGAUAAGAGGUUCUAUCAUUUUCUUUGCCCCCCAAAAAAAAAAAGAGGUACUAUCUUUUUGAGAUGACGUACGAUGCAGUUCCUGAGGAAGCAUUUAUUAGAGAUAAAUGUUCCACAUCGGAUAUUGGAAGGGAUCUUUAGUAAUAUAUAAGAUGGAUGGGCCACUCCACUUAUCACCAAUUGGUUAUAGGUUGGAAGUCCGUCUAGCUUAACAUGGUAUUAGAGUCCAAUCCAUACAGCCCAAAUUCGGCCAAUCGAUCCUUGUCCGAACAUUCCGAGAUUGAUGCUCAAAGAGCCAUCAUUUCGAAGGGGCGUAUUAGUGAUAAAUGUCUCACAUCGGAUAUUGGAAGAGAUCCUUAGUAAUAUAUAAGAUGGAUGGGCCACUCCGCUUAUCACCGAUUGGUUUUAGGUUGGAAGCCCGUCUAGCUUAACAGCAUUAUCACCACGCAUACCAUUCGAUUCUUGAUCUCGUACUCCAUCAUCUGACAUGGAGGUGUGAAUAUCAACCUCCAUUUCCUCAUCACAAUCACAAUAUUCUUCUCUUUCGGAUCUCGACAUAUCAUGUGAACUUCACUGUUGGCCUCUGAUCUAUAUAUUAUGUCGCUCAAAGACAGUACUCCAGUAGUUCCAGCUUCUGUCUCUUCGUUUUUUUCAGCUCCAGCUGAUUUUUUUUUCAAUUAAAAGAAACGUAGAUGAAUAUAAAUCGAUGCUUCAUCAAGGGAAGUGCCAAAUAGACUUGACGAUGAAUCUACUAAUUCAUGCUUACGACUCUUUUUUCAUGUUUAUGAUGCUCCUCUGCUUGCUACUUCAAACACAUCUGAACCGUUCGUUUUUACGAUUUAAUUAAAGAGCUGCUUUAUCCAAAAAAAUCAAGUAAUUAUGACAUAGCACAAGAUUAAUUUAGCGUUAAUUAAAUACGAAAUGCAUAAGUUUAAUUGAGUUUCACCAACCUCGGCCUAUAUAUUAUCAGUUCCAUUUUUCAGAGGUUCUAGUGACUACAUAUUAUACGGCAAGAUUAUCUGCAUGCAUGUGUUUUCUUGUUUUGGUAAAAUGUAAAAUUCAUACAAUUUUUGAAUUUUUUUAGUGUUGCAAGCAACUUAUUACAAUAGGAAAUAGAAACAAAGAAACAACCCAACUCUUUGAACAAAAAAAAAAAAAGAAACAACCCAACUCAAGCAAGAAAAGACCAUCAAGGUGGUCUGCAUGCAUGUGUUGGUAUAAUGGUAUAUAUCAUAUGUUCUAAACACAUCAGAGCCAUUCUUCUUUUGUAGUAGUUUAGUUACAUCAGCAAAACAGAUUAAAUUAAAAUAUAAACCCUUUUCAUGGAGUUUCUUCAUGAAAGUACAUCCAUCUUUGCGCAGCGUUGAAGGCGCCUAGUCUUGGUUCGUUAGCAUACCUAAUAUGAUUUUCACUUGAAGUGAAAUUGAAGAAACACAGUUUUAGUAUACUGACUAAUGAACAAAUUAAAGAAGCUGGUAUAGUAAACAUAUACAAAUAAAUACUAUUGAUCCAAGAAUCAAAUAUUCCAAAAGGUUUUAAAGUUACAGUAGAAAGACUAAUUUGACAUUGUAUAUGUUACUACUACGUACGUAAGGAUUAUGCAAUAAGCUGACGCAGGAAGAUCAGUGACGCAUUUUCUCAGAAAAAGAUCAGUGACGCAUUUGUUGUAAGAAAAUAUCCCAACAGAGAAGCUAAUUGACGAGAUAAAGAAAAUGCAUGGAAAAAUGGAAAGGGUUUAUAUAUGGCUGGCUAGUGUUUGUAAGUCUAUGUUGCGUAUCACAAUGUAAAUGAAACCUCCUUCAAGUCAAAUUCCAAAACCCAAUGUUCUGUGCAUCCCACUAUCACACUAUAUCCACUUAUUCGACUAAUAUCCUAUUCGUAUAAACGUUCCUAUAAAUCCUACUAAACUUCAUUUGCAAGACGAUAAUCAUUUUCCUCACCACAAUAGUCGGAGAUAAGCUCUCACGCUCAGCCGUAUCAAAUUCAACCGCUUCAACUAAUUGUGGCUGAUUAUACUUAUUUGAUUGCACACAGCUAACCAGUACAGAAACUACAACUCUGGCACAAAAAAAAAUAAAAGACCUUAAGAUCAAAAAUAUUCACCUAACAACACAUAAACUACAACUUCUCUGAUUCUGAGCUCAUCAAGUCCAAGCUUUGGUUAACUGUCGCCACUAAAUCAUCAGUAAAACCCAAUCAUGUUCCAUAUAUUCAAAGUGUAAUCUACGUAACUUUGACAAACCUUUUAUAGUUGGGAAUGAACCAUUCAGUAUAACCGUGAGUUAGAGUCUGCAAAAACGAAGUAGUAUACAUUCCAGUUAAAAGAUAAUGAAGAAUAAGAGUGGACUUGCUCAAGAACAAGAGAGAGAGAGUAAUUUCGAAACUAAGAGAGGGAGUAAAAAAGGAUAAUGUUUCCUUAAUUUUAUUGUCUUCACAUACAAUGAUAUUUAUAGAAACAUAAUAGAGAAGUGAGAUGGUAAGCUGGAUAAUAGGAUGCUCUAAAGGCUCCACCAGAUUUGAUUUCAAAUUUGAGUUCACACCUUAAAGUCAACACUCUUCAACAGCUCUUUUCGUCUCAAUAACUCAGCCACUCUCCAAUGGAGAGGUAGAUCAGCUUUCCAGCCAUCCUUCAAUAGAGUUUAAAGUCGCCAACUGGAGUAUCUUCAAACUCCCUCUCACGCAAGAUUUUGUAGCCUUCUUCAAGUGGUGUCUUAGCUACUCUUGCUCCAAGCUUUUCUGCCUCAUUUAAAAGAUCAAGCGUGUACUUUCUUUGGUAGAGCGACACAUCUCAAUUCCUAGAAAGUAUUUUAGCUCACCCAAAUCUUUAAUAUCAAAUGUAGACUUGAGAAAAGAUUUAGUAGAGGUGAUGAUAUCAUCUACAUAGAUCAGGAUCACCACAAUUCCUUGCUUGCUUGUGAGAGUGAAGAGAGUAUGGUCAACUUCUGAUUUUACAAACCCUCUUCCAUUGAGAGUUGCACUCAACUUGUGAUACCAAGCUCUUGGAGACUGUUUUAAUCCAUAGAUUGCUUUCUUCAAUCUUAGGACAUUUCCUGGCUUGACCAUGUCUUCCAUACUAGGUGGUGGUCUCAUGUAGACCUCAUCCUCCAGCUCUCCUUGAAAAAAAGCAUUCUUGACAUUCAUCUGCCAUAGAUCCCAUUCUAAGUUCACUGCCGCUGAGAGAAGAAUCCUUAUGGUGUGAAGCUUUGCUACUGGUGCAAAUGUGUCUAGAUAGUCUUUUCCAUAGACCUGAGUAUAUCCUCUUGCAACUAGCCUUGUCUUCUUCCUUUCUGGCUUUCCAUUAGCCAAAUAUUUGAUGGUGUAAAGCAGGCGACUUGUCACUGCCUUCUUUCUUUUGGGGAGUUCCGUUUCAUACCAAUUAUCAUUCUUAAUCAUUGCAUUGAUCUCAUCUUUCUUAUUGCUGCAAGUUGUUGAUGGUUUUCUUUACUUCAAAUAUUCUGGUGAGAUUUGAAGUGUUGCCAUACACCUUGUGCAAAGUAUCCCACAAUUGUUUUGGGGUUGUGCAGUGUGAGUGAAAGUCCAUAAGAGGACCAUCAAGAGAGCUUUGCAAGAUAGACAAUACUAUGAGAUCUUCCUGAACUCAUUUGCCUUCAUCUACCACUACAACCUCCUUGCCAUCUUCUCCUUGGGUGAUUUGCUUUGGAGAUGAACUUGAAGUGUCAUGCUCCCAAAGGCCUCUUCCUCCAAGGGCUGUCUUGGUCAUUCUAGACCAGGUAAUGUAGUUUCCUGGUCACUUGAGUGUGACUGGAAUGUGAACUUCUCUGUAAUGAACCAUCUCUUAAGCUGGCGCAAAGAAUUGUUUAAAAUUUCAAGAUUGGAUUUGAGAGAUAUCAACUCUAGAAAGCCAAGAAAUUUGAAGAAAACAAGAACACUAUAGAACUCAGAUUUAUUAUCCACUGUAUAAAAGAAAUAUGUAGAGAAAUUUGUGAAAUAAAAACAGAGAAACAAGAGAAAGAAAGUAACAGAGUAAGCUUGCGGAAGUAAAUGAGGUAAUCAGGAGCUUAAUGCUCUGAUACCAUAAAGAUAAUGAAGAAUAAGAGUGGACUUGCUAGAGAAAGAGAAAAGGAUAAUGUUUCCUUAACAGUGAUAUUUAUAGAAACAUAGUACAGAAGUGAGAUGGUAAGCUGGAUAAUAGGAUGCUCUAAAGGUUCCACCAGAUUUGAGUUCAUACCUCAAAGUCAACACUCUCCAACAGCUCUUUUCGACUCAAUGACUCAGCCACCUCAUGUCAUAACUUAGCAUCAUAACUCAGCCACCUCAUGUCAUAAGUCAGCCGUCUCAUGUCCAUAACUCAGCCACCUCAUCCUUCAUUCCAUAUCUCAGCCACCUCAUCACAUAUCUCAACCACCUUGUGUCAAUCUUAUUCAUGUCUUCAUGUCAAUACCAGUGACAAUAGAUACUUAGAAUACAAACAUCAUAUUCCAACGAGUCUAAGAAGCAUAAUGGGUCAACCAAACCUAACCCAAAUAGAAAAAAAAAAGACAUUAGAGAAAUCCAACAAAUAUUAUAUAUACAUGCUAAUUCACACAUAUACGUUAUGUCAUAUUUUUAAAUUUAUUAUAAGACAAAAUCUGUGAUAUGAAGAAUGUACAAAGCUUUGAAGCUAAAUCUAAUGCCAAUCAGUUUAAGAUUAUAAAAUAAAGAAUGAGAUACAACAUAUAUAAUGCAUAUACAUAACUUGGUAUGGAUAGACAUAAUAUGAACACAUAAUCACUAAGAUUCAGUGAAGAUCCAAGAAGGAGAAGUUAUGACAUAGAGAGAGUGAGCACGCAAAAGCAACUAUAUACAACAAACUUAAUUUUAUACAAUCCCCCCUUUGUGUGCUCGCUCUCUUCUGUCAACUUCUUUUUCCCCCAUCAACAUGUAACAUAUAAGCAUGUAAUAAAUUGAAGAGAAACAACAUAUGUGUAUAUAUAGCCAGGAAAAUCUAGCACAAAAACCGAUGAUAAAAGAAAGGAAAAACAUAAAAAGAGAGAAGUCGCAAGUACAGAACGAAGGUACUUGAGAUCAGAUUUGGGAAUAAUAACAACUAACAAGACCUCGAUCUACGGAUCCAUAAAAGGAAAGUAAAAUAUCUAAGUACGGACACUAACUAGGGUUUCUCUAAUUCACAGCUCUAGAUUUUUUUUUUAGAAGAACUGAAGCUAGAAACAAAGGUGAUGGAGAUGCGCUCAGAAUUGAAACUGGUAUAUGGAGAAAGAAAGGUUAAUCUUACUAUAAAUAUUCACUCUCUCCUUCAUGCAAAAUUAUGCAUAUGUGUGUGCUGGCUCUUUCUCUCUAUCAAGAGAGCAGCGAAUAUUUUUAAAACCCUAAAAUGAAUAAGAUCUGAAAACGUUUUCAAGAAAUUUAGAUUAAAUGGAAGCAGGAGAGAAAAUGAAAAACAGAGAGGAAGAUAUUAAAAGUACGGAUGGGGAAAACGCUUGGCUAUGGUUAGUCGGAGAGAGAAACGUGUCGCUAUCAAAAGGCCUAGUCUUUUGUCUUUGGUCGUUGAUUUGACUUAAGAUGCGCUAUGAGCCGUUGGAUGUGUCUUUCUUUUAUCAGUUCCGUCUCUUUGCCGUCUUAUCUGUUUAAUGUCCUUGUAAUAGAUUGCGUCAUUAGUGAAGGACACACGCGUGUCGCACCAUCUUUUCUUCGUCAGCUUAAAUCUGGAUUAAUGCUGACUUUAUUUUAUUUUAUUUUUUCGUGUCCCGGUUAGCAGGAGAUUUGCAAGUUAAGAAGCCACCUAGAGUCUUGAUUAGUUUCUCCACUCACGGCCUCAAAAACUUGCUUUGUUAAAAUGGUUAAAUGACCGUAGGAUUUUAACCAAGGAGUAGGAUAGUUAAUGAUUGAAUUUAAAUGUGGCUUUUGAUUAGGCAUGGGCGUUCGGGUCUUCGGGUCUUCGGACCGGUUUCUUUUGGGUCCGGAUCUUUUCGGAUCCUAAAUAUUUAGACUCAAUAGGUACUUAGAAAUUUCUGGUUCGGGUUCGCGUCAGUUCUUCUCAGGUCUGAGUCAAUUCGGGUCUAUAAUUAAAAUACCCAUAAAAUAUCCGUAAUUUUUCGGGUCUAUAUCGGGUCCGGAUCGGAUUCAGGUAUUUAGGAUCUGAAAAAGACAUGAUAUACCCAAUUCCAUCAACUUUAGUUGAAUAUUUGUCAUAUAUAUCUAAAAUUUUACAAAAGAACUUAAAUGAAACUAUUAAUAAUUAAAAUAAAACAUUUUAAAACUCUAAAUUUUACAUUUUAAAGCUUUAUAUUACUUUAAAAAUGUUAAAAAAUAAUAACAAAUGUUGUUAACAAAAAAUAUUUCAACUAAAUCAUAAAAUAAUAUAUAUAAAAUAGAACACAAAAACAUCAUAUUUUAGAUAUACAUGUUUUUAAGUCGGGUACAAAUCGGUUUUUAUCGGGUCGGGUCUAUUCGGAUCGGUUCUUUUCGGGUCCGGGUCUAUUCAGGUUGGUUCCUUUUCGGUUCCGGCUCUUUUGGGUAAAAAAAAAUUUAGACCCAAAAGGUACUUGUAAAUUUUCGGUCCGGUUCCGGGUCGGGUAUUUUUGGAUCGGUUCCGGUUUGGGUAUUCGGGUCCAGGUUAAAAUGCUCAGGCCUACUUUUGAUAAAAAAUUACUAAAUGUCAUCAAAAAUAUAUUAAGUGUUAAGAAAAUAUAAAAGUGACUUCAUUGUGAAUAUAAAACAAAUAAUAUAAUAAUAAGUUUUUAAUUAAAUAAAAUAUGUAUACAUGAAAAUUAUUAAUUUAUAAUUUUAAUGGGAUCAUAUAUUUACAUAGAUUUUUUCUUUAAAAUGUUAUCUUAUUAUUUUAUCGAUUUGUGUCAAAUUUUAAACCGGUCCGAAUUGAAACCGGUGAAAUUUAUUAAUUUAUAGAAAUUGUUAAUUUAUCGAAUAUAAUGUAUAGAGGUUUUACUAUUCGCGGUUCUGUUUAGCUUACUAUAAAAGAUGAAGUCAUACAUCUCCUCCUAACAAAAUAAAGAAUGUAAAUACUUUGAUUUCACAGUAAAUAGUUCAUAUAUAAAGUACUAGUAUUAUUCAAAAUAUGCUUUAUAAAAUAUGAGAUGAGAAAUUUGAAUAGAAUAUGAGAUUUUGAUACUUAAAUUUAACACUGUUUAUUCUUCUGUCUCACUUGAGUUCACAGUGAAUAUAGGCUUGUUUUAACACUAUAUCUUGUUUAUGUCAUAACAAGAACACAGAUUAGUUAUUUUCUUCUUUUUUUGCCAUCUUAGACCAUGAUUACUAGGGUUUUUAGUUUCGGGUAAGAGACGGUUUUUAGCUUUUCUUAGAUUUUAAUUAAAAAAAGUUAAGAAUCGUCUCUUAAAUAAGAGAUAUAAGAGUUGUUUCUCAGCCGAAAAAUGUAAAAAAAAUGUCAAAUCAUGAAUUAAGAACCCGGCUAAAAGACCGGGGUUAAUAAUGCUCUUAGUAUGUUGAGCAUUUUUUAACAAAAAUAUGCGAAGCAUUUAAAUUAAAACUGCUUUGCAAGUGAAAAACAUGAUUCAUAUCAGAGGGGCUGCGAGUAAAUAAAUGGUAAACAUUUCACAAAUCAUAGUUCAACAGAUUAGCUUUACUCAACCCCUAUGGCUGCACAUUUUUCGAAUCAACAUAGCCUAAAAUCCCUAAAAAGUCCUAUACUUUAAACCAAAUAAGACUCAGCUGUAUAAAUUAAAAACUCUUCUAACGGUACUUGCACAUAGACACAGACUGCGAAACUCUUGUCUAAGCCUCUUCACCCUCUUCCUCUUCCCCUUCUUCCUUGGGUUCACCCUCUUCCACUUCUUCCUUGGUUUCACCCUCUUCCACUUCUUCUCUGGGAGCUUCCUUCUCCUGCUUCUUCUUCUUUAGCAUACCUAAUAUGAUUAGUCAGUAUACGCAGUUUUAGUAUACUGACUAAUGAACAAAUUAAAGAAGCUGGUAUAGUAAACAUAUACAAAUAAAUACUAUUGAUCCAAGAAUCAAAUAUUCCAAACGGUUUUAAAGUUACUUUAGAAAGACUAAUUUGACAUUGUAUAUGUUACUACUACGUACGUAAGGAUUAUGCAAUAAGCUGACGCAGGAAGAUCAGUGACGCAUUUUCUCAGAAAAAGAUCAGUGACGCAUUUGUUGUAAGAAAAUAUCCCAACAGAGAAGCUAAUUGACGAGAUAAAGAAAAUGCAUGGAAAAAUGGAAAGGGUUUAUAUAUGGCUGGCUAGUGUUUGUAAGUCUAUGUUGCGUAUCACAAUGUAAAUGAAACCUCCUUCAAGUCAAAUUCCAAAACCCAAUGUUCUGUGCAUCCCACUAUCACACUAUAUCCACUUAUUCGACUAAUAUCCUAUUCGUAUUAACGUUCCUAUAAAUCCUACUAAACUUCAUUUGCAAGACGAUAAUCAUUUUCCUCACCACAAUAGUCGGAGAUAAGCUCUCACGCUCAGCCGUAUCAAAUUCAACCGCUUCAACUAAUUGUGGCUGAUUAUACUUAUUUGAUUGCACACAGCUAACCAGUACAGAAACUACAGCUCUGACACAAAAAAAUAAAAGAACUUAAGAUCAAAAAUAUUCACCUAACAACACACAUAAACUACAACUUCUCUGGUUCUGAGCUCAUCAAGUCCAAGCUUUGGUUAACUGUCGCCACUAAAUCAUCAGUAAAACCCAAUCAUAUUCCAUAUAUUCAAAGUGUAAUCUACGUAACUUUGACAAACCUUUUAUAGUUGGGAAUGAACCAUUCAGUAUAACCGUGAGUUAGAGUCUGCAAAAAAGAAGAAGUAUACAUUCCAGUGACAAUAGAUACUUAGAAUACAAACAUCAUAUUCCAACGAGUCUAAGAAGCAUAAUGGGUCAACCAAACCUAACCCAAAUAGAAAAAAGACAUUAGAUUGUAUGAGAAAUCCAACAAAUAUUAUAUAUACAUGCUAAUUCACACAUAUACGUUACGUCAUAUGUUUAAAUUUAUUAUAAGACAAAAUCUGUGAUAUGAAGAAUGUAUAAAGCUUUGAAGCUAAAUCUAAUGCCAAACAGUUUAAGAUUAUAAAAUAAAGAAUGAGAUACAACAUAUAUAAUGCAUAUACAUAACUUGGUAUGGAUAGACAUAAUAUGAACACAUAAUCACUAAGAUUCAGUGAAGAUCCAAGAAGGAGAAGUUGUGACAUAGAGAGAGUGAGCACGCAAAAGCAACUAUAUACAACAAACUUAAUUUUAUACAAUCCCCCCUUUGUGUGCUCGCUCUCUUCUGUCAACUUCUUUUUCCCCCAUCAACAUGUAACAUAUAAGCAUGUAAUAAAUUGAAGAGAAACAACAUAUGUGUAUAUAUAGCCAGGAAAAUCUAGCACAAAAACCGAUGAUAAAAGAAAGGAAAAACAUAAAAAGAGAGAAGUCGCAAGUACAGAACGAAGGUACUUGAGAUCAGAUUUGGGAAUAAUAACAACUAACAAGACCUCGAUCUACGGAUCCAUAAAAGGAAAGUAAAAUAUCUAAGUACGGACACUAACUAGGGUUUCUCUAAUUCACAGCUCUAGAUUUUUUUUUUAGAAGAACUGAAGCUAGAAACAAAGGUGAUGGAGAUGCGCUCAGAAUUGAAACUGGUAUAUGGAGAAAGAAAGGUUAAUCUUACUAUAAAUAUUCACUCUCUCCUUCAUGCAAAAUUAUGCAUAUGUGUGUGCUGGCUCUUUCUCUCUAUCAAGAGAGCAGCGAAUAUUUUUAAAACCCUAAAAUGAAUAAGAUCUGAAAACGUUUUCAAGAAAUUUAGAUUAAAUGGAAGCAGGAGAGAAAAUGAAAAACAGAGAGGAAGAUAUUAAAAGUACGGAUGGGGAAAACGCUUGGCUAUGGUUAGUCGGAGAGAGAAACGUGUCGCUAUCAAAAGGCCUAGUCUUUUGUCUUUGGUCGUUGAUUUGACUUAAGAUGCGCUAUGAGCCGUUGGAUGUGUCUUUCUUUUAUCAGUUCCGUCUCUUUGCCGUCUUAUCUGUUUAAUGUCCUUGUAAUAGAUUGCGUCAUUAGGUAUCUCCCACCCAACACCAAAACACUAUUUUAAUGUGAUUUUUACACCAAAUCUUCGAAAAAACGGUUUUUUCAUGUCCGUAUUAUAAAACCAGGGAAAAUACAUAUCCAAACAAUAUUAACGUGCCAAAACAUUUCUAAAUUAAAUAAAAAUUUAUCAUAAUAAAUACCUAAAACAUGCCUAUAGCCAGUUAUAUGAUGAUUUGGACUAUUUAAAAAAAAAUAUUUGUAGUUUGGUCACUAUAAUUCUAUUUUUUUGUUAAUAUGCCUUAAAUAAGAUAAAUAAUCAAAUUUCUCGUAUUUAUAAUUUUAAUUUGAAAAUUACAAUUUUAUUUUUUUACGAGAUUUUAACUAAAUUUAAAUAAUAAAUUUAAUUAUUUAUCAGAAAUUUAGAUAGUUAUCAUAUACAAUAUAUUAAUUAAUUUAGUUAUCAAAGUAUUUUAUCUACCUUAUUAAAACAUGAGAAUUAAUUAUAAAUAAUCUUACUCAUAUGUAAUAUUUACAAGAAAUACCACUCAAUUUAUAUUUAUAUAAAAUUUUCUUUACAAAUAUAGUCAUUCAAAUUUUAAUCAAUAUAACUAAAAAUACUCUUUAGAAAUUUGAUUUUACAGUAGAGAUCUUUAAUAAUAUUACCCUUAAAAUGGACUGACACGUGUCAGUUACGAGGCAUGUUUUAGUUAUUUAUUAUGAGUUUAGGUAUGCAAUUCAAAUUCCUAUUUAGUUUAGGAAUGUUUUGGCACGUUAAUAUUGUUUGGGUAUGUAUUUUCCCUGGAUUCAUAGUGCGGGCAUGAAUAAGCCGUUUUCCCCCGAAUCUUUUCUAAUGGAACAGCAAAAAUCACACUAUUUUAGUGGAAAACUAAAAUUUGACACCAAAUUUGGUGUGAUACUAUUCACCACAUUAAAACACUAUUCAUCCCACUAAAAUACUAUUUACUUAUUUUAUUACUAAAAUAUACAAUUAAAUAAAUGAUAAAUAAAAAACUUAAUACAUAUAAUAUUAUAAAAUAGUUUUAGUGUGAAGUUUAGUGUUAUGGUUGGAGAAGACCUUGACUUUAGUGUUGAAAUUACACUAAAAUAGUGUGGUUUUGACACUAAAAUAGUGUUAGUGGUUGUAGAUGCCCUUAGUGAAGGACACACGCGUGUCGCACCAUCUUUUCUUCAUUAGCUUAAAUCUGGAUUAAUGCUGACUUUAUUUUAUUUUAUUUUUUCGUGUCCCGGUUUGGAGGAGACUUUAGUGUUGGGUGCAAGGCGGGUACUUGUUUUUUUAUGUAUAUUUGAUAUUUGGCUUGUCUUGAAUGAGUAAUGAAUUUUUGGAUUUGUACUUGAAAUGUCGGAAACAAGUACUUGUUAUUUAGAGUACUUGUCCAAAUAUAUGUUACUUGCAUUUUUCGAUUACUUACUACAUACAAGUAUUUAUUAAUUAAUUGGAUAUAUUUCUAAGUUUUUAAGAAUUACUUGAUAGAUAAUAUUCUAUGAGAGAAGGUUAUGAAAGUUUGUUUUAUUUACUCGACUUGGUAAAAAACACGAGAGUUAUUUUAAAUAAAUUAUUUGCACCUAAUAUAAAAAAAAAGAAUGAACUUAAUACAUAUAUUUCGAUAAGAAAGUAUUGUUUAUUUCUUACAACAAAGAAAUAUCUAUGCAGGGCUUUCGUUUUUAUAGUUUAGUUAUCAUUUUUUCAGUCGUAAACACAAGUAAUGAGUAAUAUCAAGGCGAGUCGUAUUUUUUUUUGUGAUACUUAUUACUUGUCUUGUACUUGCAAGUAACAAAACUCAACGACUUGAUACUUGACUUGACAACGACGAGUACCUGAAAAAAUGAAGUGAAUACGAGUCAAGUAACGGGUAUAAGACAAGUAAUAAGUAUUCGUGCCCACUCAAGAAGACUUGCAAGUUAAGAAACUAUCUAGAGCUUGAUUAGUUUCUCCACUUGCAACUGCAAAAACUGAAAAUGGUUAAAUGACCGUGGGAUUUUAACCAAGGAGUAGGAUAGUUAAAAUGAUUGAAUUUAAAUGUGGCUUUUAUAUAAAAUUACUAAAUGUCAUCAAAAAUAUAUUAAGUGUUAAGAAAAUAUAAAAGUGACUUCAUUGUGAAUAUAAAACAAACAAUAUAAUAAUAAGUUUUUAAUUAUAUAAAAUAUGUAUACAUAUAAAUUAUUAAUUUAUAAUUUUAAUGGGACUAUAUAUUUACAUAGUUUUUUAAAAAAAAUGUUAUCUUAUUAUUUUAUCGAUUUGUAUCAAAUUUUGAACUGGCCCGAAUUGAAACCGGUAAAAUUUAUUAAUUUAUAGAGAUUAUUAAUUUAUCGAAUAUAAUUUAUAGAGGUUUUACUAUACAUGGUUCUGUUUAGCUUACUAUAAAAGAUGAAGUCAUACAACUCCUCCUAAAAAAUAGAGAAUGUAAAUACUUUGAUUUCACAGUAAAUUGUUCAUAUGUAAAGUACUAGUAUUAUUCAAAAUAUGUUUUAUAAAAUAUGAGAUGAGAAAUCUGAAUAGAAUAUGAGAUUUCGACACUUAAAUUUAACACCGUUUAUUCUUCUGUCUCACUUGAAUUCACAGUGAAUAUAGGCUUGUUUAAGCACUAUAUCUUGUUUAUGUCAUAACAAGAACAAAGAUGAGUUAUUUUCUUCUUUUUUUGCCAUCUUAGACCAUAAUUAACCACAGUCACUUAACUGGAGUUUUUAGUUUCGGCUAAGAGACAGUUCUUAGCUUUUCUUAGAUUUUAACUAAAAAAAAAACUAAGAACCGUCUCUUAAAUAAAAGUGUCUCUUAAAUAAGAGAUUUAAGAACUGUUUCUUAGCCGAAAAUUGUAAAAAAAAUGUCAAAUUAUGAGUUAAGAACUUCCGAUAAGAGACCGGAAUUAAUUAUGCUCUUAGUAUGUUGAACACUUUUUAACAAAAAUAUGUGAAGCAUUUUUUUUUUUCAAAAAUAUGUGAAGCAUUUAAAUUAAAACUGCUUUGCAAGUGAAAAACAUGAUUCAUAUCAAAGAGGGGAUGCGAGUAAAUAAAUGGUAAACAUUUCACAAAUCAUAGUUCAACAGAUUAGCUUUACUCAACCCCUAUGGCUGCACAUUUUUCGAAUCAACAUAGCCUAAAAUCCCUACAAAGUCCUAUACUUUAAACCAAAUAAGACUCAGCUGUAUAAAUUAAAAACUCUUCUAACGGUACUUGCACAUAGACACAGACUGCGAAACUCUUGUCUAAGCCUCUUCACCCUCUUCCUCUACCCCUUCUUCCUUGGGUUCACCCUCUUCCACUUCUUCCUUGGUUUCACCCUCUUCCACUUCUUCUUUGGGAGCUUCCUUCUCCUGCUUCUUCUUCUUUUUCUUGCCCUUCAACUUAUCAACCAAAAUCUGCAGAGGCUUGGAUUCAUCGUCAGAUGCAUGCUCAUCACCACCCACAUCUUCAUCUUCAUCAUCAGUCCUCUUGCUCUUCUUAGAGGAAGCCAUAGGUUUUGCCUCCUUUUCAGAGACAGCCUCUGAUGGAGACGAAGAAGCCCUUUUCUUCUUCCCGUUGGUUGCUUCAGAAAUCUUAUUGCAUGACCUCAGACGCGAUGCCGCUGCUACCAUCUUCCCCCCAAUAUCUCCCAUGACGCCAUUUGUCCUAGCAGACUUCCUGUUAGUCCUGCAAACAGUUUGUCCCAAGGUGUAACAAAGAUCACUGAAGAAACUCUCAUUGUAUCAGACAGACUCAUUAACCUCUAGAGAUUAUCGAUACUACCAAACACAACACACAGGAUCUGAAUCAAGACCUGACCAAGAAUAAGAAGAGUCUCUACUUACGGUUCUGGGAUAAUAUCAGCGAUCUCAUCGUCAGAUUUGUCCUGUAGAGAGAUAUUGAACCAUUAAUAAAUAAUCCACAACAGCAAAUCGACAGUAAAAAUGAUUAAACAACUCUCUACCUCAUCAGCAUUAUCAUCAUCAUCAUCAUCUCCUUCUUCAACUAACUCCCACCUCUCGUUGUUCAUAUCCAAGAUCUCUUUCUCGCCAUCAUCAUAAAAAACCUAUUAUCACACAACGUCAGCAAAGCAAAGUAAGGUAACAGACAUUAAUUGACUAAUUGAAUGCACCCUAAAUUGGAUAAUUAAGGAUCCUGAAAUCCACCAAACUCAAAUCAAUAUCAACAAUUCAUUUAAUGAAAGAUGUAAUUGAAUCUACAUCCAAGCCAGAUCUACAGAAACAAGGAACAUGAUGUGAAUUGAAUUGAAUUAUUAUUACCCGAUGUUUCUUAGUGCGAGAGUUAAACGAAUCAACCACUCCUUUGUAGAAUCUACACAACCAAACAGAGAUCUGUAAGAUUCAAACAUCACAAUUACUUAAAAAACCAAACUUUAUCGAGUUAGAUCGAGUAACUCACUUGCGAUCUAUCGGCCACCAAACCUUAACCUUUGAGCCCACCAACUCUUCACCAUUGCUCACCUGUUGCAAAAAUCAAUAAUUCGAAUCAAUUCUACUCAUCAAAAACGCAGAAACGAGAAGAAUCGAAAUUGAAUUGUACGAUCGAUUGGAAAACCUCAUCCUUCCCAGAGACACUCGAAGGUUUAGUCUUAGCAGCAACCAUUUUCAGACAAUUGAGAGGGAAUCUAGGUCGGAGAGAGAGAGAGAGAUCUUCUCUUACAGCGCAGUAAGAGGGAUGAAUUGUGAGAGAGAGAGAAUGAGGGAAGAUUCGAUUUAAAUUGGAGAUUUUUUAGGGUUCGAAAGGGUGUGUGACACAUCCAUUCCCCCCCUUGAAUAAUUGUUGAAACGAACCAACACAAAACGGCACGUGAGUUUUUACUACAUUGGAGUCGUCGGUCACGUGAGAGGGGCUGACCACAUGUUUAACCGCGUAUUACUAGUCCUAAUCCUUUCCACUCAUUGUCUGUAUGUCUUUUCUUUUCUUUUCUUUUCUUUUCUUCUGUCUAAAAGUGUUUAAGCCUACUCUUGGCAGAUAUUAUUAACGCGUUUGUACUAACUAAGAAAGUACAUUUUGCAAAAAAAAUUGGAUUAAAUAUGGUAAGUAAGAAAAAGCAACUUAUUUUUCAAAACCGAUGAAAUUGUCAUGUAAAACUCAGUGAUAUUUAAUAAAUAAAAAAUGUAAAGAUUAGUAGGAUAAAUAAAUGAUUUAAUUGUCGUAUUAAAAUAAUAAACAAAAAAAUAAUAUAUGAGUGUCCAAUUAUAUUUGAUAUAAAUUUGAGAAUAAAGUUAAAAACAAGAUAUUGAGAAUUUUUUUUAUCAAAAUAGACAAUAUCACAUUGAUAGAUAGUUAAAACAUUUGAUCGGAUUUAUAACGGACAUGUUCUAAAAGUACUUGGUUCGUCGUAACAAAUAUAAAAUAAUUUUAACGUUGCUCAAAACGAUUCUACCUUCCUUUGUGUCUCCUACACAGUCUGCAUUUAUUUCGGAAAGUUUGAUAAAAAAAAAUUAGUUAUAACCUGCAUGUUAUUCUAUACGUUUGUUACUAAUUACAGUAACUUUUAGAUGAUGCCAUUUAAUGUUGUUUAAACCCUUACUUUAUAUUUUUAGUGUUGUUAGUCUUCUGAUAUUUAGACCUAAUUGAAAAUGUGUUAUAAUACACACUACUGGAUAGUAUAUACAGUUAAAAUUUUACAAAUAAAUAAUGUUAAAAUUAAUAUAUUUUAUUAAUUCAUAUAAUUAUUUAAAAAACUUUUAAAAUUAUAUAUAUAAAGUUUUAAAAUAUUUUUAAUUUAUGAUAUUAUAAAUUAAUUAGAUUUUGUGGAUUUUGAAUUUUGUCUCUUUUAUCAGUUUAUUUGAUAUUUUAAGUUAUCAAACUUAUAUAUCAUAAAAUAUAAAUGCACUUUCAAUUAUAAUUUGAUAAAAUACGUUAGAGACAGAUUUUAUUUCAAAGAAAAAUGUAAAUAUAACGUUUUGUUUAUGUUUGUAUAAAUUCUACACAAGCUUUAUAUAUAACAAUAAUCAAUUCAUGGUUUUAAAUCAGAUUAUGUAUAUGUUUAAGAGUUUUAAAAAAAAUAUUAUGUUAUUAUUUUUAUCAAAUUAUGUCGUAUUUAACAUUGAUUUUUGAAAUUGAAUUUUUAAAAAUUUAUCAGAUUUAUUCAUUUAUAAAAAUGUACAGUAUAUAAGUAUUUAUAAACUAAUUUAUAUGAAAAUGAAUCCAUUAUUACAAAGCCGCAUGUUAUGCUUCAGGGUAAGUGGGAAGCACGAUGCUGCCUUGGCUCCGGGAUAAUUUAUUAAUGAUAUGAUGAGAAUCAGUAUUCGUAAUCCUUUAGUCCCAAUAAUUUUCGUUUUUAUUGGUCCUUGUUUGAGUUGGAAAAUCGUUUUGCAGAUUUUAAAAAAAUCCGCAAAAUCUGCGGAUUUUUUUAUUUAUAUAUUUUGAUUAAUUUAGAAAUCCAUGUAAUAUUUAUAAAUCCAAGUAAAAUAUGUAGAUUUUAAAAAAAAUCGGAUUAGUAUUUACAAAUCCAGAGGUUUUCCUCCGGAUUUGAAUCUUUGUAUUUUUAACAAAAAAAUCCAAACAAAUUCAUUCAAAUCCAUUAUAAAAUCAAAUUUAUUAGUAAAUCCGUACAACUGAAUAACACUUGAUUUGAUAUAAAAUUUAUGAAUCAUUAAACUAAUAACACAUGAUUUUAAUAUAGAUUUGAAAAUUAUAAAACCAAUAACACUAGAUUUAGUUCGGAUUUUCAAAUCCAUUAAAAUACAACAACCAAUAACCCCCAAUUCUUUUCUAACUAACAACAAACUUGAUUACUUUGGUGAAAGUGCAAGCAUAUAUAUUUUUUUUUUUUUGGGAACAAGAUUUGUCAUUGAAUAUUUUAUAGUUUUGGCCAAUGAAUAUAUCCUUUAAUAACAGAAAAAACCGUAACUGAUCUGAGAGAAAAUAUUAUACUCCUAUGCAAGAAGUUAUUGAUUGCUGAUGCAUGCAAAACAUAUGAAGCGUAUUCUCUAAGUUGUAUAUAUAUACGAAUAUACAAAGUCAAAUCAUAUUAUACAGUUACGCAAUUUUAUCUAUGAAAUAUAUGUUGACAAAAGAGUUCAAUAUGUUUGCAACUUUACUAUACUGUCUUCAUUGUAUCGCACGUUCAUGUACACUGUUGCAUUACACUAUAUAUGUAUAUUCCAGUUACAGCUUCACAUUAUGUUCUUGCACGAGGAGAACUAAAGAUUCAAUUACAUAGUACCCAUUUGUGAAAUAACAUCAUUGUUGUCGGACCAUCACCCUCUAUUUAUAUAUUUUGAUUAAUUUAGAAAUCCAUGUAAUAUUUAUAAAUCCAAGUAAAAUAUGUAGAUUUUAAAAAAAAUCGGAUUAGUAUUUACAAAUCCAGAGGUUUUCCUCCGGAUUUGAAUCUUUGUAUUUUUAACAAAAAAAUCCAAACAAAUUCAUUCAAAUCCAUUAUAAAAUCAAAUUUAUUAGUAAAUCCGUACAACUGAAUAACACUUGAUUUGAUAUAAAAUUUAUGAAUCAUUAAACUAAUAACACAUGAUUUUAAUAUAGAUUUGAAAAUUAUAAAACCAAUAACACUAGAUUUAGUUCGGAUUUUCAAAUCCAUUAAAAUACAACAACCAAUAACCCCCAAUUCUUUUCUAACUAACAACAAACUUGAUUACUUUGGUGAAAGUGCAAGCAUAUAUAUUUUUUUUUUUUUGGGAACAAGAUUUGUCAUUGAAUAUUUUAUAGUUUUGGCCAAUGAAUAUAUCCUUUAAUAACAGAAAAAACCGUAACUGAUCUGAGAGAAAAUAUUAUACUCCUAUGCAAGAAGUUAUUGAUUGCUGAUGCAUGCAAAACAUAUGAAGCGUAUUCUCUAAGUUGUAUAUAUAUACGAAUAUACAAAGUCAAAUCAUAUUAUACAGUUACGCAAUUUUAUCUAUGAAAUAUAUGUUGACAAAAGAGUUCAAUAUGUUUGCAACUUUACUAUACUGUCUUCAUUGUAUCGCACGUUCAUGUACACUGUUGCAUUACACUAUAUAUGUAUAUUCCAGUUACAGCUUCACAUUAUGUUCUUGCACGAGGAGAACUAAAGAUUCAAUUACAUAGUACCCAUUUGUGAAAUAACAUCAUUGUUGUCGGACCAUCACCCUCNNNNNNNNNNNNNNNNNNNNNNNNNNNNNNNNNNNNNNNNNNNNNNNNNNNNNNNNNNNNNNNNNNNNNNNNNNNNNNNNNNNNNNNNNNNNNNNNNNNNAAUUAAGAAAAUUAUUAAGCAUCGGAUAAGUUUAAUAAAAUAUUAAACUAUUACCUAAGAAAGUGUAUGAUGUUGUCAUUGACUGGAUUGGUCUUAUUUAACUUUUAAAUUUUUUUAUUCUAAUUCUUAAUUCAGGUUGGGUUGAGUUUAAAGUUAUAGGUAUGAAUGUUUUCUCUACCACUAAGUAGAAAGUUGAUAAAAAUUCACCUGCAUACCAUGAUUAUAAAAUACAAAUAUUAACUGAAAUUUAUGUGUAAAAACGAGUUUUUAAUUAUAAAAUAAGUAUCACACAAUAUAUGCAAAAACAAUCCUAAAAAUAUAAUAAAAUGAUUUAUUACUUUUUUCUUUAUUAAAUUAAAAUAUCAAACAAAACCCGUUGUAACGCACGGACUCAUAUCUAGUAUAUAUAUAAAGUAUAGCUUUUGGCAUGAACUGAACGUUCGUCAUAAGAAGAUAUAAGAAUAUGAUGGUUACCAACUUAACUCUAAUACUAUAAUUAUAUAAUAUAAUAAUACUAAUUACAUAAAAAAAACGAAAAUAAUAAUAAUGGAGGUAGGUCUAUAAGCCGGAAAGAAAAUUCGGAUAGAAAACCAACGGAAUUUCCGUGAUGCACAUUAAUAGAAAAAUGGUCAUCAUAUCAUAUUACAUUCACAUUAUUUUAUAUAAUUCAAUUAAUCAUUACAUAAAAAUUGGGAUAAAAUAAUGAGAAUUUGUACUCCAUACACACAACAUUUACCCUAUUUGCACUCCGUAACUUAUUUCCCCCCAAUUUUCUUUCCCACGUCAUUACCAAUUUUCCCUCAUUCUAUGAUAUCCCAAUUUGUUUAGUAUAUUAAUUUGCUCAGAAAUAAUUGGCAAACUGGCGAGAAUGUAAUGAUUGGCCCACGCUAAAACGUCGUCGUAACGAAGCUCCCAUCAUCAAUCGAAAACGGCAUCGUUUCGGGUGGCUCACACUUGUCUCCAUCGUUUCUCUCUUUAUUUACCACCCCCCCCCACCACCAACAGCCUUUCAUCUCUCUCCGGUUGACCCGAUAAAGUUCUCUAGCAGAGACGCACGGAUCUCUCUCUCUCUCUCUCUUCUUCGUAGAUCUGCUCGUUAUCGAACCUCCGUAUUACGUCAUCUGAGGUACGUUCCCCUUCUUCUUCCUUUUCUUGAAAAUCGAAUUUGGUCAAAGCUAGGGUUUGAUCUUCAUCUGAUUAUCGCAGAUCGGAACCUCUCGUUCUCAGAUCUAUGCUGUGUUACCAGAUCUGUAAUUAUAAUGGCGGAGACUCUCAAAGAAGACUCAAUCACGAUUCGGGAGGUCUGGAACGACAACCUCCUCGAGGAAUUCGCGCUAAUCCGUGAGAUCGUCGACAAAUUCACCUACGUCGCGAUGGACACGGAGUUCCCCGGCGUGGUCCUCAAGCCCGUCGAGACCUUCAAGCACAACAGCGACCUCAACUACCGCACCCUCAAGGAGAACGUCGACCUCCUCAAGCUCAUCCAAGUCGGCCUCACCUUCUCCGACGAGGACGGCAACCUCCCCACCUGCGGCACCGACAAGUUCUGCGUCUGGCAGUUCAACUUCCGCGAGUUCAACAUAGGUGAAGACAUCUACGCGAGCGAGUCCAUCGAGCUUCUCCGCCAGUGCGGGAUCGAUUUCAAGAAGAACGUCGAGAGCGGGAUCGACGUGGCUCGCUUCGGGGAGCUCAUGAUGUCGUCUGGGAUUGUGUUGAACGAUUCCAUCUCGUGGGUUACUUUUCACGGAGGUUAUGAUUUUGGUUAUUUGGUGAAGCUGCUGACGUGUAAGGAGCUGCCGGUCAAGCAGGCGGAUUUCUUCAAGCUGUUGUAUGUGUACUUCCCCACGGUUUAUGAUAUCAAGCAUUUGAUGACGUUCUGCAACGGGCUGUUUGGAGGGUUGAACAGGCUCGCGGAGCUUAUGGGUGUGGAGAGAGUUGGGGUUUGUCAUCAGGCGGGGUCGGAUAGCUUGCUUACGUUGGGGUCGUUUAGGAAGCUUAAGGAGCGGUAUUUCCCUGGGUCGACUGAGAGAUACACUGGUGUGUUGUAUGGUCUAGGUGUGGAAGAUGAUGGUACUAAUGUUGCUAAUUAAGAGGAAAAUAAUAAAGCAAGCUUAAUUAUUGAGAGAAGUGGAUUAUUAGGUUUUAGGAUUUGUGAGUGUGAAGAAGACCAAUUAGAACUUGUCUGUGUGUAAAUUGGCAAAAUUUGGUUUUAGUGACUCUUGUGUCUUUGUUGUUCUGUCUUUCAGAAAAACCCCCCCUUUGAUCAAAUUAGGGGUUUUUGUUUAGCUUUGAGUUUCUGAAUGUAUAUCAUCUCAGCUACCCGUUUCAUUAAUAAAUAAUCCCCAAAUUAUAAUUUUAUUUUGCUUUCUUGUUCUUAGUAAUGGCUUUGCAUACCAGACUUAUAUAACUUGCUAGUUAUAGAUUAAGUUAGAUUAACUUGCUUGGCAGAUCAUUGUUAUUGGUACAUUCAAGACGAUCACUUCAAGAAUUGGUUAACAAUGUCCCUUGUUAAACUACUUUGGCUUCAUCCAAAACAAGGCAUCGAUUCAAAUUGAUAAACAAAGAAGCUUCAUUAAUAAUUAAAAGAUUAUAUCAUUGUUUUGGUCUAACAUGUACUUUGAAAAAAAGAAAAACCAAAGGGAAAAGCCAAAGAUAAACUAAUCAUAAUCUAAACCGAAUAGGGGAAAACUACAUCUUAAGCACGUUCUCCACGAAUCCUUCUGGCCAAUUGAAUAUCCUUGGGCAUGAUGGUAACCCUCUUAGCGUGAAUGGCACAGAGAUUGGUGUCCUCGAACAGACCCACAAGAUAAGCCUCCGCAGCCUCCUGAAGAGCUAAAACAGCGUGGCUCUGAAACCUCAGAUCCGUCUUAAAGUCCUGAGCAAUCUCGCGAACAAGACGCUGGAACGGGAGUUUACGGAUCAGCAACUCCGUACUCUUCUGGUACUUUCUAAUCUCACGAAGAGCCACGGUUCCUGGACGGUAACGGUGAGGCUUCUUCACUCCUCCGGUGGUCGGUGCAGACUUCCUCGCCGCCUGUGUAAAAGAAAUUCGUUAGAGACAAAGAUCACAAACUUCAAAUUAAACCCAAAUUCGAGAAACCCAGAUCGUCUACGUUCAUAAUGUGCCCAAUUCAACCUAAAUCGAGAACCCUAGAUUCGAUUUCAAUUACAAAGGUAGAGAAGAUCGAAAGAACAAACCUUGGUGGCGAGCUGCUUCCUGGGAGCUUUUCCUCCGGUGGACUUUCUUGCGGUUUGUUUCGUACGAGCCAUUGUCUUCUUCUCAAAGAUGCGAACUUUUUGAGGAUUCGAAGAAAGUUGCAAGAUGCGAGAUUUGUUUGAUGAGAAACAGUAAAAAGGUUGUCUCGUAUAUAUAGAUGAUGUUUGGUCGGUUAAUUUUGGGAGAUACAGAAGAAGUACGAAGUUAAUAUCUUCGACGGUCCAGAUCUGUUCAAUGAUUUAGAUAGCUGAUGUGGCAAUUAGCGCCUUCGCUUUUAAUUGGCUCAAUUCUUGAAAUGAUUGAUGACGUGGAGAGAUAUGUGUUUUUUGAAGUUUGGAGUGAUGUUAAUUUCGAAUCAUUCGUUCGUAAUUAGAAUCUUGGGCAGAGACGUGUUUCUCGACUCUGAUUAGACAAGCUCCGGUUCGGUUUCGAAAUCAAUUAAAUUUUGGGUCACGUCCGGUUCUGUUUUGAAAACGCAUUUAAAUUUUAAAACUCGAAACUCGGUUUUAAUUACUUCUCCUUCACUCAGAAGAGACGGCGCCAAAUCGCGGUAACUUUUUAUUCUCCGAUGGCUUCGACAUUCGUCGCUCUCCAUGAUAGUUAACCAAAUAAGUUCAAGUAGAGCUUACGUUGUGAUAUCUUACCUGUUAAAACAUUGUUUGUGAUUUGAUGUCACUUCGUUGAUUAUUGUUAGGCUAGUAGAGUAAUGGAGAAACAUAACUCAUUACAUAGAAAGACGAGGGUGUGGAUGCAAUGUUGUCGUAAGCUAAAAGUAUUUUUGAAUUACGAGGAGGUUCGGACGAAGCCCUAAUCACAUCAUGUAAUAUAUAUUAGUUUCGUCAAUAAAGUAUUAAUGUUUUUGCUUCCGUGUUCGUAGUAGUAAUGGCAUUGUAAUUGUAACUUCUGAGUCGUCAAACUAGACAAUGUUCAUGGAUGGCUGCUAGUUAGACUGAAAAGAAAGUCAAGUAGUACAAGAGUUGGUACGUGCACUCGAACCUAUGUACAUCUUUCAACAAUUCUACAAGCAUGAUUCAAAACGAUAAAUCAAUGAUAAUCGUUUAAAAAAAAUAUACCAAUAUUUUUUUUUUAUACCAAUAUUUUGAUCAAAAGAGCUCUUGAAAGUUUAAUAACAUGCAACGUAAUCUAAAGUUGAAGAAAUAAACAUGAAUUUGAGAUUUCCAAACGAAGCCAUCUCUUGAUGCGGUCCGCAAUUUCAUGUUCGUGUCAUUUGAGGCCACUCUUUUCAAAACACUAUGCUCAGGCCAGUAUAAUCAGUUUUUGUUGAUAGCAUUGCAAUAAUGGACUCUUGAAAUUAUUAACACCUGAGCCAAGCUCACUAGUAUAUCUACUGUAAUUAAGUAGCAACUGCUCUCAUAAAUAAAGCUUUAUGGUAUCAGUUUAGAAAUGUAUCUAUGUUAAGAAAAGUUUAAAUAUUUUUCACUAAUGGAAUACUAGAUCUGCGUAAUUCUGAAGUAAUUGAUGGCCAGCCCGAAAUAAAAACAAAAGUAAAGUAGUGACAAUGGGUAUUGCCUCUCUCUAUUGGCUCGGCCCAACAUUUUAUAACAACAAGGUUGGUUUUAAAAUAUUUCUAAACAACAUUCUUGAAUACAGCUAAGUUGAGUCACAUUGGAUUCCGAGGGUAAUGGAAUCCAGAAAAUAAGAAAAGAUAAACUAUGUGCUAUUUCAGAAUGGCCUAAGAUUCCCAAAUAGAUGUCAAAUGCAUAACUAAAAGUAGGCAAACAAUGUGGACAGAUAUGGACAACACAAAGAAGCAUUGAAGAUGAACGCAGAAGAGUGGAGAAGUGGUCCAUUAUAGAAUUUAAUUGCAUUUUGAAAGUGCUUUUUUUUUUUGUGUGUCUGUGGUCCAAUUUUGGAAGUGAACAAAGCCUAACUUUGGGGUUCUUAAGAGAAGCAGACAAAUUUCCUUCUCCUAGUUUUACCAUGACAUUAUAAAAAUAUAUGUAACAUGUUUUAACACUUCAUUUAGAUAGUUAUACUUAUUUCUAAAAGCAUAUUUGGAAUGAAUCGAGUGAGACAGAUAUACAUCACUAGAUUCACUAGAACAUACGACUCAUAGCUGAUUUAUCUACAGAUUUUUUUCCCCACUUUUUAUAAAGAAAGAAGACUAGUAAUACCAUUUAUCUUUCAUUGGUCAAGAGACGAAACACAAAACAACUAUUACUAUUAAAAAAAACACUUCCCAAAGUUUUUCACUUCCAAAAUAUAUAAAACAAAGUUUGAAAAAAUGACAAAACAUAUUACCAGUCAUAACUGUAUUCUCUUAACAAAUAAUUAACGGUUGUGUCUAAUCACCAAAACCAAAAAGAACUUGAUGAGUAGGACGAAGAAACCAAAUACUUUUUUCAGCUAUGUGGAUAAACCCAAUCUCUCCCUCUCUAUCGUUCACCCGGGACCAAGCCACCUUUAAUCUUCUACGGUUUGUCUACUUUGAAACGUUUCUAUCUUCUUCUUUUCUUUUUUGGUUGGAUAGUUUUAACCUUUUCCUUACUUUCUCUAUUAUUUGAUAUGAUCAUUUAGAGUUCCUAAAAUCAUGGUGGUUUUGGGCUACAGUACUUUUCUGUUCUUUUUUUAAUUGGAGCAAAGAUCUGAAUAUUAUAAUGUUUUGAUAAAUGAGCUGAUGUAGGAAUUUUUAAAUCAUUGACUAACAAACAACUUUCCAAAUCAAUGAACAUGUUCUCAACAGUGUUAUGAACGUUAUGAGACAAACGAAAUUCAAUCGAAAAACAUUCGUGGCCGCUUGUCUAUGUAUAUAAUUAUGCCUGCAAAGACAUGGAGGAACAACUUUGGCAGCGUUGCAAAGCAAAGUGAAAGAUGAGGAUAAAACAUCGGGGACGUUCCAUCAUUUUCGUACAUGAACCUGACAUAAAGCUUCCUAUGUUCUUUCUUUAAUCUUUCUUUCUUUAUAAUAUAUGAAGUAUUUGUGCUUUUCUAACUAAUAAUGUGUCGAUGUUAUUAUUGUCUAUGUUGUUAGCUAGUUUUUUAGUCUUCAUUGAUCACAAGCCAAGCGUAUAACAACUAAAUUAGCAAAAACAAAGCACCCCUAUCCAAGGCCGGCUGAGGAGGGGACAACCGGUGCGACCAUCCCGGAUCUAAGCCUGUGUCCUCCGUAUAUUAAUAGUUAAGAGGUCCAAUUUUUUUAAAAAACCUAUAUUUUUAUAUUAAAAAAAUUAUAAAUAUAAUAAAUAAAAUUGAAUACAUAUAAUUUUAUUUUCAUCACAAAAUAUACAAAAUAUUACUGAUUAAAUUUUAGAAAUAUUUUAAACAUUACCUGAAUAUAAAUUUUUGAGAAUAAAAAAAUAUUUUUUGCCAUAAGGUCCAUAACAAUGUUAACCCGGUCCUACCCCUAUUAAAUGAAACCUAACAACAUAGACAACAAUGGAGCUGCUACAUAACCAUCGUCCCCUUAUCAGCCUCAUUGUCUUUCCAUGAAUAAUUUUGUAAGAAAAAUAAUAGUUUUCAUUUUAAGAUGGAUGGAGAGAUAAGUCUAGUGUAUAAAUUUAGGAGCAUUUUGAUAAUUACCAAUCUAUAAUCUUCAGCUUAAAAUUUAAGUACCUAGCUAGUCUAAUUCACAAUAUGUUUCUAAUGUUUAUUUAAGUAUUUGACAUAAUUCAUAUUUGCUGGAAACAAAAAGGCACCAUAAUUAAUUAUGGUUAUUUGCUCUGAGAUGCCCUUUUUUGUCUUGUGAUCGAUAUAUACAAUUAAAUUGUGAUAGUUGACAUAUGACCAGCAAUCCCUAUGAGCAUCACAUACAUCCCUGUUUGUAGGCUAAUAUCAUUAUAUUAUAAACUCGACAUAUUAUAAGUUCCAUAUUAUAUACUAAUUGGGAAAAUAAUGUUAAUAAUAAUGUCAGUUAAAUACCAGAAUCUGUCGGAAACCACUCUUUUUUGGGUCCGAGUUUAGUGUUUUCAACAUUUUCUUUAGACCAUCUCAAAUGUAUUCUUCAAUUUUCUCUCCAAUGUAUUUCUCUAUUUUUUCUCUAUAAAGGAAUAUUCUUAAAAGAUUUUUUUUUAUUUUAUAAAUAAACAUUUAACUUAUAAAUGUUGCAAAUUAACCCAUUUAUUAUAACUUUUAAUUUUUUUCAUAAAAUUGCAAUAUUAUUUAAAUUAAACAUUUUAUUAAAAAUGACAUUAGAAAAUAAUAAUAAAACAAAAUAGACAUUAUCUAACCAUCUCAUUACUAUAUUUUCCCAUAAAUGGUCAAUUAAUACAUUCCGAAGUGAGAAAUGAGCUUCUUUAUUUUUGAUUUUUCUGAAUCAACUUAGAAACUCUUGGAACCGAUUAUCUUCAUCAUCUGGUAUUUGGACUUCUAGUGGUGGAGCUUCUCUUCCAAUACACUAUAAGAAAGAAAUAAACAAUUCUUAGAGAACCUAAAGAAGUCAAGUGAACAAAGACAAACAUCAGUUGGAGAUUCAAAGACAAAAUUUUGCUUUAAAACAGAUGAAGGAAAUUUUUUUUUUUUUGUGACGUAAAUUCCAUUGUCUGUGAACAUUUCCAAGUAAAGAAAGCACAUAUUUUACAAAAGCGCAGUCACUAGCAACAAAAUAAGCAAACUCCUCCUCCACCCACGUCGUUUGGACAAUAUUUUAACAUUUUUUGUGGAUCCGGAAGUAAUUUACCGGAGUAUUAAGUUGUUUCAACAUGUUGUAUUGAUUAAUAUUUAAGUAUUAAGUUGUUUCAAUAUUUAAGUUUAAUUUUAAUAUGUUAUCAAUAUGUAAAAUUAUGUUAAACUUUUAAUAAUUAAAUUUAAAUUAAUAGUUUUAAUUAUCAAUAUAAAAUUUUAGAUAUCAUUCAUUAAAUAAAAAGUCUGACUUUAAAUUAAAUAAUUAGUAUGUAAACAUAAAAUAAUUAGAUAUCUUUUUAUUUAUUUUAUUUAUAUAUAAAAAUUAAAAAUUAGUAUGUAAACAAAAAUCUGUGCAUUUAUAUGUUAAAAUUGUAUUUCUUCGUAAACAUGUAUUUUAGUUAUAAUCACAAAAGUUAAAUGACUACUUUGUAAAUAAAAAAGCACAUCUCUAUUAUAGAGGAAUGCUAUUUUUUCCCCUAAAUAUAGAGGAAAAAAUAGCAAUCUCUAUUAUAGGGAAAGNNNNNNNNNNNNNNNNNNNNNNNNNNNNNNNNNNNNNNNNNNNNNNNNNNNNNNNNNNNNNNNNNNNNNNNNNNNNNNNNNNNNNNNNNNNNNNNGGGAAAGAAAUAGAGGUGGGUUGGAGUAGAUUUUUCUCUAUUAUAGCAUAUAGAGGCAAAUAUAAGGGUGGGUUGGAGAUGUUUAGUAGAUUUAUAGACUUGUGAAAUUAUUAAAAAGAAAAAAAAAGAAGAACAUAUAUAUUUGAUUGAAAAAACAAGAAAAGAUAGACAAUUGAUGGUUUUUGUUAACAACCACACUGUCAUUUACUAAAAAAUAUUAAUAAUUUUGUUUAUGUCGCUAAUAUGGACAGCAUAAGGCGAUGAUUGGUAAGUGAUGUAGCUUUAUAUUUUUUGCUGUAGAAUUUAAUCUGUAGAUGUAUUUGCUGUAACUUUUCUUGCUGUAGAUUUCUAAAGCACUAAUUUUUUGCUUUGGAAAUAAAGCUUUUUACAGCCAUAUUUUGAUUUUGCAGAGAUUUUUUUGCUGUGAGUUUUUUAAGGAAAUCAAAACUCGAUUGAUUGACAUAUAUAGCUGUGGACUAAAUUUUAGCUGUCCAGAGCAUCUACAGUCCCAACCAAUAUCUCCUAAAUCUCUGAUUAAGAUUCUCCCUACUACGGUACCAGCCUACUCUCAUCUUGGUCCGGAGACAAUAAACAUGAGUAGGUCCAAAUCCAUUUUCAAGAAAAAUCUUAGUAUGUAUUAUUUGCGUAACAUUUAUGUUAAUGUGAGUGAUUAAUAGUUUGUAGGUUAAUAUUUAAUUAAGAAAAAGAAAGAAAAACAAUACUCCAGAGGAGAGUAGUCAUUACUAUUCAAAUUAGUCGAGCCGUGAAACAUAGGGCACUUCAUGUGGGGACAAGAGUGGUUAUGAAAUUGACGAAUGUGAUCGUUAAUGUGACUCCCUUCGUCCACUCACGUGUUAGUUGAUUCCACACGAAACACAGACCUGAUCACGCCGGAUGUUCUCUCGACGCAUGUACUACUCUUUGAUUAACAAUCAUCACGCACCUCACUGUUUGGAUAUUUUUCUUUGUUGUGGUAAUUUAGUCGUCGCAUUUAUCGGCUCUCGCGUGUAAAACGAGAAGCUUGCAAAUUUUUUUAAAAAUCUAACAAUAUAUUUACUCGCAAGCGAGAAACUUACAAAAAUCUAUAUUUAUUAAUGCCAGAUCUUUGGAUGCGGUCAAAUGGCUACAAACUCUCAUUAUUGGGUAGUUUUUUUCUUUAGCAAUUAUUUGACCACUGGUGACUAGUUUCAUAUUAAUGUCAAUUAUUGUACCAGUUAAAUAUAGUUUCCCAAAAAUAAUUUCACGAAUAUAUUUGACUUUUUAUUACAUGUAUUCAUUCUUACAUAACGGAGGCUACAUUAAAACGGAGCGAUUGGUAUAAAAGCAAAGUAGUAUGAUCUGAAAAUAUCUUAAACAAAGUAGUUAGAGAGAAAGUAGUGGAUGUAGAGAGGUUACGACUGGUCCAAGUGUUGUGCUCAAGCAUAUUAAUUAGAAGGCCUCUAUACCGAUCAACGUAGAUAUAUUUUGAUCGUGCAAAGAGUAAGGAGUGUUAUCGUUUUAAAUCUUUUUUGUACUAAUUAGCAACUGAUAUAUGUAAUUGAAGUUUUUUUUAUCUCAUCUAUUUGUUUGUUUACGUUUUCAAUGCUUCUGAUCACAUUAAAAUUUCAUGCUUCUACAUUUUAUGAACAUUUUAAUAUAGAUUUAUUUGAUAUAUAUACGUGAUAACUUUUAUUUUAUGUAUACUAAUUUUGGCUGAAGUCAUGAGUUCAUACCAAAAUUAAAAAAAUCCAUUUUUAAUUUACUUUCUGAUGGGACUAAAGUUUUCGUACUUUCGAUAAGACAGCAACUACGAGCUUAAGUCAAAUUUCAGAAACUGGUCCCCACUUCAUUUUACUGAUUGGUCCCUUAUUACAACCAAUAAUGUAAAUGUAAUUUGUACGGUUGGAUUCUCUUAUCUGAUCAGCAUGCCAUUUCUUUUAGGGACCACAGUUAGCUGAAAAGUGCUAUCUCGAUACGUGUCCAUCGAUAUUUUUGGCCGAGUUUAACGACGUCAGUAAUGGUCCCCCUUCCUCCUUGCUUUCG
rnacentral:lncRNA from 1 species